ensembl:lncRNA
UUUUGAUAAAAUAAAAAUACAAAUUAAUUAAAAAUCCAAUGAAGGGACGAAGGCUGGACUUCCAUUGGUCAAAGAAUGGCUUUACCUCCCCCACCACACACCUAGGGUGCUUUUCAAAACCCUCAAUCAUGAAGUCAGCAAAGAUGAAGUGGCAGACUCAUGCGUAGCAUUAGGAGUAUUUCUGGAACUGGGACUGUCUUUCCUACUAAUAGGAAAACACCAACAGUAACGACUAGCAAUGGUUACCAUAGAUUUUAAAGGCAUCCUAGCAAGUUAGAUCCCAUGUUAGUCCCUGUUUUCUAGGAAAACACCAAAACUCAGAGAGGUUCAGGAUUUAAUGGAAGUCUUUGCUAUAGCAAUUGGAAGGGGCAAACCUAAAGCCAAGUCCUCUGUGGUAAAUUAUAUUUUCAAAGAUGGACUCAUCCCUCAUGUUCUUCUUCCACUCCUCCAUCAAAAGAUGGAGCCUGUGUCUCCACCCCCUUGAACCUGGGCAGGUCUUGUGACAGCUUUGAUCAAUAUAAUACAGUGUGAGUGAUACUGGGUGACUUCUAAGGCUGGGUCAUAAGAAGUCUUGCAGCUUUUGCUUUGCUCUUGUGGGAUGUUCCCUCUGGGACACUCCCUCUUGGAAAGCAGCUGCCAUCCUGGGAGAAGCCUAAGCCACAUAUAGAGGCCAUUUAAGUACUUUAGUUAACAUCCCAGCAUAACCAGUAUUAACUGCCAACCGCGUGAGGGAGCCGCCAUUUUGGAAAUCCAGCCCAGGGAUCCUUCAGCUGACUCCAGCGCCAGUCACCACCUAACUACGACCACGUGAGAAACCCCAAGGGGAACCACUCAGCUGAUGUGUCAACCCACACAACUAUGAGAGAGAAUAGUGGUGUCUCUACCGGGUGAACAGACAGGUCCCAACAGCAGGCUGCUGACUGGUGGCUCCCUCCUGGGGACUACUCUCCCUGGCCUCUGGAGAAGAGAUGGACGCAGGAGGGACAUGCAUCUGGGGAACCAGGAAAUGUCAGAGGUUACUUCCUGAGGAAGGAAGAGGCCCUUGAAGAACUGGAAUGAGGCCAUGUGGCUGACACAAGUGAGGAAACUGAGGCUCGAGUGGUCAGCUAGUCCCGGUUACAUGCCUCUUAAGUGGCUGAGCUGGAGUUUGAACCUGGGGUGGUCCAUGUCGCAGAGCCCACACAGUGCAGUGACAAUAUCCUCCCUCCCAGAGGUGCAGAGUGGCCGGAGCCUCUCUGGGAGACUUCUAUACAAUCAGUGACUCUCAAAGUGAAGAGUGCCGACCACCCGCUUAACCCCGGGACACCUGUUAACACGCAGAUUCCACAGCUUUACCCCACUUCUACUGCGUCUCGUCCUCUGGGAACCAGGCCUCCAGAUCACGUCAGGCUCGCGCACUCAGCCUGUACCCUAUACCUGGGGCUGGUGUGGGGACACGGAGCAGCUGCAGAGGAACCUCCGAGACUAUGCUGCUAUGGCUCUGCGGGCAGCUUUGCCUCAAACCUCAAAAUCAUGAUCCUCUUGGAGGUGGCACCCCCAGGGACAGCGGCUUCUGCUCCGGGCUGUGUGAGCGCUGGGGGACCUUGGUUACGGACUCGCACUGGGUGAGUAAAGUGCUCUGUAACAUACAAGCCACCUCUUCCUGGCUUUUGUCCCUCGUAUCUCAUUAGACAAGCCAGCUUCAGGAAAGGGACGCGUUCUUCCGGGUGGGGGCCGCGUGGCCGCCACCCAGCAGCGGAGCCGUGACUCAGCUCGGCGGGCUCGUGCCCAGGCCAGGGCUGCGCGGGACCGGAACAGAGGGCCGCCCGGCCGCGCCGCACCUGCCCGGCGCCUCAGCCCGCCCCUCCCCUCCCCUCCCCGCCCCGCCCCUCCCGGAGGCGGCCCCGGCGGGCGGCGUGGCCGGGCAGGCUGUGGGCUUGCCGCCGCCCGCGCCCUGAGUCACCGCUCCCAGCCCCGCCGAGCCGAGCCGCCGCCCGGCCCCGCGCCUCUGCGCCUGCGCGCGCUCACGCGGCCUCCCGACCCCGCGCUGGGCUCUCCGCGCGGGCCACGGCCGGGACCUCCCCUGACGCGGCCUUCCCGGCGUCCGGACAGACGGGGUUCAGCAAAAGGAGUCCCCUGCCCCGCGUCCCUCCACAGCCAGAGUCUGUCUAACCACGCGCACUGACAGGAAGGAAACCCAGGCUGUCACUGUCCUGUUACUGGGUCUUCCCUGGCCUCCCUGCGGCUGGUCACAUCCACCCGCGCGGUUCCCCUUUGAUGGCAAGUCGCUAGUGGCAUCCAUCCUCUACAGCCUUCAGCUUUCUCCUGCCAGUGGUUCUCGAAGGUUGCUACCCGUUAGAAUCAUCUGGGGAGCUUUUAAAAACCCUGAUGCUCAGACUGCACCCAGACCAAUGAAAUCAGAACCACGUGGAAGCCGGGCAGCCGCAGUUUGAAAAGUUCCCCAGGUGAUUUCAAGGUUCAGCCAGGGCUGGGGACCACGGACCCAGACCUGGGCUUCUCAAACGUUUGUAGGCACUGAAAUCACCUGGGUUCUUGUUAAAAUGCAGCUUCCCAUUCAGUAGGUCUGGGGAGGGGCAGUUCUAACAAGCUCCCAGGUGAUGCUGAGGCUGCUGGUCUGAGAGCUACAUCUGGAGCUGCAAGACGCUAAAGGCUCCUUGCCCCUCUACCUUGUCUCUUGUGUUGUACAAGAGAAGACAUGGGCCUUGGAGCAGAUGGACAGGGUUUGAAUCCCACCUUUGCCACUUCCUAGCUUGGUGAAAUUAGACCCUGGUUCUUUGUGUGUAAAAUGGAGGCCUGAUACUUACCUGAUACUUACCUUGCAAGUUUCUGGUGAGGAUGACAUAAGAUGAUCUUUGGAAGGCACCUGGUGCUCAGUGACGAUCAGCUAUAUUAGGAUGGCUAAGCUCACCAUUCGCCCUCAUGGCUGUAUAGGCCGAGGAAUGACAGAAGCAGAGGAAGAAGUCUCCCAGAUUCCCUCUUCCCCGCUCUGCUCCCUAAUGGGAGGACUGGGCUGGAAGCCAAAACACUCCCCUGUCUCCCAGGGGGGUCAGAAAGGAGA